rnacentral:rRNA from 1 species
AGAUUGAACGCUGGCGGCAGGCCUAACACAUGCAAGUCGAGCGGUAGAGAGGUGCUUGCAUCUCUUGAGAGCGGCGGACGGGUGAGUAAUGCCUAGGAAUCUGCCUAGUGGUGGGGGAUAACGUUCGGAAACGGACGCUAAUACCGCAUACGUCCUACGGGAGAAAGCGGGGGACCUUCGGGCCUCGCGCCAUUAGAUGAGCCUAGGUCGGAUUAGCUAGUUGGUGAGGUAAUGGCUCACCAAGGCGACGAUCCGUAACUGGUCUGAGAGGAUGAUCAGUCACACUGGAACUGAGACACGGUCCAGACUCCUACGGGAGCAGCAGUGGGAAUCUUGCGACAAGUGGGACGAAAGCC